rnacentral:rRNA from 1 species
UUUCCCUCAGGAUAGCUGGCACUCGCUCGAGCGAGUCUCAUCUGGUAAAGCGAAUGAUUAGAGGCCUUGGGGCCGAAACGACCUCAACCUAUUCUCAAACUUUAAAUGGGUGAGAUCUCUGGCUUGCUUGAACGUUGAAGCCACGAGAUUUAAUUUAAAAAUUGGAUCAGAGUGCCAAGUGGGCCAAUUUUGGUAAGCAGAACUGGCGCUGUGGGA